rnacentral:rRNA from 1 species
GUACACUCCUACGGGAGGCAGCAGUGGGGAAUAUUGGACAAUGGGGGCAACCCUGAUCCAGCCAUGCCGCGUGAGUGAUGAAGGCCCUAGGGUUGUAAAGCUCUUUUGUGCGGGAAGAUAAUGACGGUACCGCAAGAAUAAGCCCCGGCUAACUUCGUGCCAGCAGCCGCGGUAAUACGAAGGGGGCUAGCGUUGCUCGGAAUCACUGGGCGUAAAGGGUGCGUAGGCGGGUCUUUAAGUCAGGGGUGAAAUCCUGGAGCUCAACUCCAGAACUGCCUUUGAUACUGAGGAUCUUGAGUCCGGAAGAGGUGAGUGGAACUGCGAGUGUAGAGGUGAAAUUCGUAGAUAUUCGCAAGAACACCAGUGGCGAAGGCGGCUCACUGGUCCGGUACUGACGCUGAGGCACGAAAGCGUGGGGAGCAAACAGGAUUAGAUACCCUGGUAGUCCC